ACAUUUCUUGGAUGUUUUUUAUGUUAUUGUCUGUGUGUGUGUGUGUGCAUGUGUUUGUAUUGCAUACAUACGAGUGUGUGAGUACAUGUCACUGUACAUGU
rnacentral:miRNA from 1 species